AUCAGCCUUUCGGGUGCGAUUCUGUGGGGUUUGAGGAGCUUAACACCUUCAUGCUUUGCAUAUUCGUGCUCUUGGGUGUACUUGCCCGUGUGGUUGGUUAACAUCAAUUUUGGUGGUCAUAAAAUGACUGGAGGAAUGUAGCUUCGAUCUUGUAUUGAAGUGUUAUAGCCUUCGGUAGAUGUGAUGAUCGAGAUUGAGGAUUGCAACGGAUACCCUUCGGGGCUAUCUGUCUGAUCUCUGAUCGUUGUUCUGGUGCCGAAAGCUUGCUUACGGUUAUCAAAGUCGAUGGUCAAUAGGUUAGAACGGGUUAAAUUCGUUAAGGAUGUUGACGUAAUGGCUUU
rnacentral:rRNA from 1 species